AUAUACCCAGCAAUGGGAAUAGAGAACUUGGGCUGAGCAUCUCUCUGUAGUUGUGAAGAGGAGCAAGAAUGGACAGUCUUGGCUAUGCAUGAUGCAAAUGUGUCUCUGCAUUUUAUACAACAGAUUUCACACAACAAUGGCAAGAACAAUGGAUACAUCAGUUACCUGGGAUUUUGAGAGGAUGAAGUCAGAAGAUUGUGGCAGAGGUGACAGAAAGUAUACUUUAAUCCAAAAGAUGAUGGAUACAACUGAAACUCUUACACAUGGGAAUAAGGGGAGGAAGCCACCAGAGUUUGAAUUCUUAGAAAUGCCCAAAGUGGCCUGGAGUCAAGGGGUUUUGCCAUCUUGCCAGCAGGGGAAAGUGGACCCAAGAGGUCAGCAAUUCUUUGGGAAGAAACUAUUAUAAGGCACAUUGGGCAUCUGCCCUUCAGUGCUUUCUGACUGAUGCUUUAUGACAGAAAGCACCUCCCAGUCCUGUGAAUAUUCUCAGCACUUUGGACCGAGGUAUGCAUUUCUUCUCCCUGCUGUUCCCAGCCAGAAGAGCUAUGUUUGGAGGCAGGGGCAGCCUACCUGGCUUGUCCCUGGCCCCACCCGGCCAACAGGAUAGAGCUUCUAUUUCGGUGGUAAUUAAUACCAUCCUUGUGACAAGGCAGUUUCACAGUGUUGCAAUCUCUGUCAUCUGUACCGGAGCCUAAAUCAACAAGUUGGCUGACUCUAACUCCUUCCUUUACCAAGUCAUUAGCUCCAGGAUGCUACCCAGAUGCCAUCACUGGAUCAACCACUGACAUUCCCCACUGGUGAUUCCCUUGUGUCAUUUUCUCCGGACAGUUGUGUAAAGAGCCCUGGGAAGGUUGAAAGGCAAGUCGGAGGAGGAAGUGGGAGGGAGGAGGUCGUUCACCUCUUUUCAUUCAGGCCAAAUACAAUAAUACACCCCUAGUGCUGGGAGAUAAUGAAAAACCAUCUCAGUGAGAAACUCGCCUCCAUUUAAAAAUGAUAUCUUCAAUCAUAUGUGACUAGAGGGCAAGAGGGAGGAGCUGUAGAAACCAUCAGAGGCUGGAAAGAUUUCAGGGUAUCUGGGUUCAUUUCCUAUCUUUUCUUAUUAUUACCCAAGUGACCUUGGGCAAUUUUUUUAUGUCUUUGGGCCUCAGUUUUGUUAUCUGUAAAAUGAGAGCAUUUGGCCCAGAUGUCUUCUAAGUUCCUUUCUUGCUCCAGAACUUUUAACCCCAUGACCUUGAUACUGAACCAGUCCUAUUGGUAGCCUAAUAUGUUGUUUUUUUAAGCCCUUACCUUUUAU
ensembl:lncRNA